rnacentral:rRNA from 1 species
AGAGCGAACGCUGGCGGCAGGCCUAACACAUGCAAGUCGAGCGGCCGUAGCAAUACGGCAGCGGCAGACGGGAUAGUAACACGUGGGAACGCGCCCUUCGGUUCGGAAUAACUCAGGGAAACUUGAGCUAAUACCGGAUACGCCCUUACGGGGAAAGAUUUAUUGCCGAAGGAACGGCCCGCGUCGGAUUAGCUAGUUGGUGAGGUAAUGGCUCACCAAGGCGACGAUCCGUAGCUGGUCUGAGAGGAUGACCAGCAUCACUGGGACUGAGACACGGCCCAGACUCCUACGGGAGGCAGCAGUGGGGAAUAUUGGACAAUGGGCGCAAGCCUGAUCCAGCCAUGCCGCGUGGAUGAUGAAGGCCCUAGGGUUGUAAAGUCCUUUUAACGGGGAAGAUAAUGACGGUACCGUAGAAUAAGCCCCGGCUAACUUCGCGCCAGCAGCCGC